GGGGAAUUUUGGACAAUGGGCGCAAGCCUGAUCCAGCAAUGCCGCGUGAGUGAAGAAGGCCUUCGGGUUGUAAAGCUCUUUUGUCAGGGAAGAAACGGGCCUUUCUAAUACAGGGGCCUAACGACGGUACCUGAAGAAUAAGCACCGGCUAACUACGUGCCAGCAGCCGCGGUAAUACGUAGGGUGCAAGCGUUAAUCGGAAUUACUGGGCGUAAAGCGUGCGCAGGCGGUUUUGUAAGACUGUCGUGAAAUCCCCGGGCUCAACCUGGGAAUGGCGAUGGUGACUGCAAGGCUAGAGUUUGGCAGAGGGGGGUAGAAUUCCACGUGUAGCAGUGAAAUGCGUAGAUAUGUGGAGGAACACCGAUGGCGAAGGCAGCCCUCUGGGUCAAAACUGACGCUCAUGCACGAAAGCGUGGGGAGCAAAC
rnacentral:rRNA from 1 species